CCUACGGGUGGCAGCAGUGGGGAAUAUUGCACAAUGGGGGAAACCCUGAUGCAGCGACGCCGCGUGAAGGAAGAAGUAUUUCGGUAUGUAAACUUCUAUCAGCAGGGAAGAAAAUGACGGUACCUGACUAAGAAGCCCCGGCUAACUACGGGCCAGCAGCCGCGGUAAGACGUAGGGGGCAAGCGUUAUCCGGAUUUACUGGGUGUAACGGGAGCGUAGGCGGCGAUGCAAGUCAGAAGUGAAAGCCCGGGGCUCACCUCCGGGACUGCUUUUGAAACUGUAUGGCUAGAUUGCAUGGGCGGCAGGUGGCCUUCCUGGUGUAGCGGUGAAAUGCGUCGAUAUUAGGAGGAACACCCGUGGCGACGGCGGCUUGCUGGACUGUAAAUGACGCUGAGGCUCGAAUGCGUGGGGAGCAAACAGGAUUAGAUACCCUUGUAGUC
rnacentral:rRNA from 1 species